GAUGUGCUUCAGCUGCUGUAGCGACGGGAACAUAGCUGUUUGGGAUCUUCACAACCAAGCACUUGUGCGCAUCCAUUUCGAAAACAAUUGGGAUAUUUUUAGACAAUUCCAAGGUCACACUAACGGAGCCAGUUGUAUCGACAUAUCUAACGAUGGAACCAAGCUUUGGACUGGUGGCCUAGAUAACACAAUAAGGUCCUGGGACCUGAGAGAAGGUCGGCAAUUACAACAACAUGACUUUACAUCACAAAUAUUUUCGUUAGGAUACUGUCCAACUGGAGACUGGCUUGCCGUGGG